UGAGUAACCUGCCCUUAACUCUGGGAUAAAGCCUGGGAAACUGGGUCUAAUACCGGAUAUGACUCCUCAUCGCAUGGUGGGGGGUGGAAAGCUUUAUUGUGGUUUUGGAUGGACUCGCGGCCUAUCAGCUUGUUGGUGAGGUAAUGGCUCACCAAGGCGACGACGGGUAGCCGGCCUGAGAGGGUGACCGGCCACACGUGGGACUGAGACACGGCCCAGACCUCCGUACGGGAGCAG
rnacentral:rRNA from 1 species